UACAGAGGGGGCAAGCGUUGUUCGGAAUUACUGGGCGUAAAGAGCGUGUAGGCGGCCCGGUAAGUCCGGUGUGAAAGUCGGGGGCUCAACCCUCGAAUGCCGGUGGAUACUGUCGGGCUAGAGUGCGGAAGAGGCGAGUGGAAUUCCUGGUGUAGCGGUGAAAUGCGCAGAUAUCAGGAGGAACACCAAUUGCGAAGGCAGCUCGCUGGGACGUAACUGACGCUGAGACGCGAAAGCGUGGGGAGCAAACAGG
rnacentral:rRNA from 1 species